UACGUAGGGUGCAAGCGUUAAUCGGAAUUACUGGGCGUAAAGCGUGCGCAGGCGGUUGUGCAAGACCGAUGUGAAAUCCCCGGGCUUAACCUGGGAAUGGCAUUGGUGACUGUACGGCUAGAGUGUGUCAGAGGGGGGUAGAAUUCCACGUGUAGCAGUGAAAUGCGUAGAGAUGUGGAGGAAUACCGAUGGCGAAGGCAGCCCCCUGGGGUAACACUGACGCUCAUGCACGAAAGCGUGGGGAGCAAACAGG
rnacentral:rRNA from 1 species